rnacentral:rRNA from 1 species
CGCGUAGGCGGUGUACACAGUCAGGCGUGAAAUUCCCGGGCUCAACCUGGGGGCUGCGCUUGAUACAUGUGCGCUUGAGUUCGGAAGAGGGUCGUGGAAUUCCCAGUGUAGAGGUGAAAUUCGUAGAUAUUGGGAAGAACACCGGUGGCGAAGGCGGCGACCUGGUCCGAUACUGACGCUGAGGCGCGAAAGCGUGGGGAGCAAACA